GCUCCUGUGGCGCAAUCGGUCAGCGCACGGUACUUAUAAGACUGUAAUCUGCAGAGUGAUGCAGAGGUUGUGAGUUUGAGCCUCGCCUGGAGCA
rnacentral:tRNA from 1 species